rnacentral:rRNA from 1 species
UGGGGAAUUUUGGACAAUGGGGGAAACCCUGAUCCAGCCAUCCCGCGUGUGCGAUGAAGGCCUUCGGGUUGUAAAGCACUUUUGGCAGGAAAGAAACGUCAUGGGUUAAUACCCCGUGAAACUGACGGUACCUGCAGAAUAAGCACCGGCUAACUACGUGCCAGCAGCCGCGGUAAUACGUAGGGUGCAAGCGUUAAUCGGAAUUACUGGGCGUAAAGCGUGCGCAGGCGGUUCGGAAAGAAAGAUGUGAAAUCCCAGAGCUCAACUUUGGAACUGCAUUUUUAACUACCGGGCUAGAGUGUGUCAGAGGGAGGUGGGAUUCCGCGUGUAGCAUUGACAUGCAUAGAUAUGCGGGGAUACACCGAUGGCGAAGGCAGCCACCUGGGAUAACACUGACGCUCAUGCACGAAAGCGUGGGGAGCAAACAGG